rnacentral:rRNA from 1 species
UGGGGGAUCUUGCGCUAAUGCGCGAAAGCGUGACGCAGCGACGCCGCGUGGGGGAUGAAGGCCUUCGGGUUGUAAACCCCUUUCGGCAGGGACGAAGGGAAACUGACGGUACCUGCAGAAGAAGUCCCGGCUAACUACGUGCCAGCAGCCGCGGUAACACGUAGGGGACGAGCGUUGUCCGGAUUCAUUGGGCGUAAAGCGCGCGUAGGCGGCUCGGAAAGUCGGGCGUGAAAUGCCGGGGCUCAACCCCGGGACUGCGUCCGAUACUUCCGAGCUGGAGGUAGGUAGGGGAGAUCGGAAUUCCUGGUGUAGCGGUGAAAUGCGCAGAUAUCAGGAGGAACACCGGUGGCGAAGGCGGAUCUCUGGGCCUUACCUGACGCUGAGGCGCGAAAGCUAGGGGAGCAAACA